UACGGCCAUCACAGAGUAGAAAAGUUUAGACACUUUGAUUUCUUCAUAUAGUGACCAUUAUAUUCAAUAUCGGUUCAGUAUUUUUGUCAAUUCAUUCAUUUCAAGGUUGGGGAUGCAAAACCCUAUUAAAACUUCCAAGUAAACCGCAUUCUUUGUUUCAUUGAUAUUCUUGAAGUGUCUGCUAUCACACUGCAACUAAGUUGGCCAGUGACAGAGUGACAGGCGUGGAAAAGGGGUACUGUAUUUCUAAAAACUUCUGUAGAUGUCAUCCAAAUGGUAACUAUUUCCAGCACUUAUAAUGCUGAAUAUCCAGAAAUGAGUAAGGAAACGUUACAAGAUCUUGGAAAAUAACGAAAGCAGAUGUCCCGAUUCAUGCAUUUUCUGUAUUUUUCGCAAUGACGUAUUGUCAAAUUUGACACUAAGUUGACGUAAUGAAGUAUGUCUAUCGAAAACUGUGAUGAGGACAGUUCCUAGUUCAAGGCGAAGGUCCAACUCUGCCUUCCGCAGUUCCCAGUCAAUUUAUCUCCCCGACACUGUUCGAAAUGCUAAUUUGGAGUAACAAAAACAGUAUUCAAUUAGUGCGACAGCUACAGCCAUUAGGAGUAACCUAAUGGCACUUUGAUUUUGAAAGAGACUGCUGCAUUGGAGUUUCUAUGGUGAAGAUUGAUGGCGUAUUGAGAGUGGAGUAACGAUACGUCCAGAAAAAUGUUUCAUUGUCACGGAUGCCUGUAAACUAAUGAAUAUUUUCAGUGUUUUUUUUGUAAGGCUUUCUCUGAGUGUCAUUGGCAUUCGAUAUGUGAAGAAUAUAUUCAUGGAUGAUAAAUUGAAUAUUAUAAAUUUAGACAUUC